UACGAAGGUGGCAAGCGUUGUUCGGAUUUACUGGGCGUAAAGCGUGCGUAGGCGGUUUGAUAAGUCAGAAGUGAAAGCCCAGGGCUCAACCUUGGAAUUGCUUUUGAAACUAUUUUACUUGAAUCCGGUAGAGGUUGGCGGAAUUCUCAGUGUAGAGGUGAAAUUCGCAGAUAUUGAGAGGAACACCAGUGGCGUAAGCGGCCAACUGGACCGGUAUUGACGCUGAGGCACGAAAGCAUGGGGAGCAAACAGG
rnacentral:rRNA from 1 species